CUACUUAUCCCAAAGACGCGACGUCAAGAGACAACAAAGGGGGCCAUGUGACGCGGUGACAGGACUCGAGGGAGUCCGCUCAUCGCGUCCCGAACUUCGACUAUUCGCCAGUGUUUCCAAGCAUCGCAAGCACCGCUACUUCAUCGUAGAGGAUCUUCAUUCCCCUCCAGAUACAACCCAGAAGCCCGGUUUUGCCAGUAUCGGAACUAGAUUACUUCUCGGUGCUUCGAACUUGUCGUGAGUUCAGUAGGUUUUUGUCGAGUUGACAACGAGACCGCCGAGCGUUUUCGAGCAUCGCAACAUCUGCUUCGCCGCAAUCUAGACAACUAUCCCGAAGCCUAAGAUCCUCAACUGUUGGUUCUAGUUCACCUUUUCUUGCUUCGAAUCUUCGAAUAGGUCAGUGUGGUUAGUGGAUUUUCUAGGAGAGAACAAGGAAAAUGGUGAGAAGAAGCGAGAAGAUCGCUAUUGCAAUCGGCAUGGUGGGGGCUUCCUUUACGCUUCUUGCGUACAAGCAAACCCUCAUGACUACCACGCAUAGUAUUUUGCUCGGUUUCGUCAUCUCGAUCAUCGCGUUGGGUAUCAAGGAAUUCGACUUGAUGGAGCCUGAGAUUGUGGAGAAGAAUGACUUGAAGAAGGAUUGACGAAUUGGGUCCUAACCUGACUCUGUCUCGUUUUGAUUCAAGCACCCGACGAUCGAUCCUAGAGGUUCUGUAGUUUUGGUCCCUGGGAUCGUUUUUGGUUUCCCAGUGUGAAUUGAUUCCUCACACGGGAAGCAUUUGUACCAUAGUUGUGCCAUUCUUUCUCUGUGGGUCCUCGCAGAGUUCUUCUAUGAAAUUAGGAUUCAAUUUGGGCACUCUUAGAGCCUUUACUCAAUUCUAAGAAGGUUAUAGUUUGUUUCUCUAGGUGAUGCAUUUGCAUUUGUGGAAUACGGAUACUUUUGCAUAUUUUUGCAAGUUCACCUAGCAGCAUGGUGCCCGAAUUUUGAGUGCUAAAAAUUGGAUGUGUGUUUUGGUUGCUUGUACAUGGCACCAUCGCGGAUGAUUUCCUGGAAUGGUUUAUGCAAUUACAAUACCUGGGUAUUGCUAUUCUGCAGACUCUGCUUGCAGUUUUUAUUUUUAUUUUUAUUUUUAUUUAUUAAUCUACUUGUAUCAUUUUAUAUUUUAUUCAUCUAUUUGUAUCAUUUCGGGCUUCAGGGUUUAUAGCUCGUCUAUGUCCCAAAGAAUUUACAGGCCUGGGAACUUGGGAAAUCGAAUGCAAUCUUAAAAGAGUCUCGACUUUUCUUUCUAUCUUUACAAGGAUCAUUGUGAUGUAGCAGAGUUGCCAUGUUUCAAAACUCUUGUUGUCAAAGUAUACAUUAAAAAGCCAUUUACUUGUCAAAGUCGGCUGUGAACCAUUAAAGUGUAAAAUUUUACAGCAUGUUUUAUCAAGCAUAUUUCGAACAAACAUCAAAGGGCGACGCUCACAAAACUCUUCACUGAACUGAAGGUUUGUUGGAGUAAAGUUCUUACUAAUUGCAUAUCUGUUUGGUCCUUGACUAAACCCUCAGCGUGCUGAAACCUGUGUCAAUUUUUUAUAUUUUAUCAGUUCAAGGCGAACUUCCAGAACCGUGUAUGAGCUGUUUUCUACUCGUCUGAGCCCCACCCCCCUUUCUUACUGAACUGCCCAUUCUGUUCAAGAGGAUUUUGUAAUAGAGUGCAAGAAAAAAGUGUCUAAGUUUCGAAUUAGGGUUUGACAGUUUGGGUGACCAAUAUUACAGAUCAAGACGCUCAGACUGUAUAGGGAUUGAAAGAACAAAGCGUUCAGGGUGGAAGGUGAACAAUAG
rnacentral:lncRNA from 1 species